GGAUUGCUGAAGAGUCCCAAACUAGGACGAAACAGCUGUCCAGUAC
rnacentral:hammerhead_ribozyme from 1 species